rnacentral:rRNA from 1 species
UUGACGGGGACCCGCACAAGCGGUGGAUGAUGUGGAUUAAUUCGAUGCAACGCGAAAAACCUUACCUACCCUUGACAUGUCCGGAAUCCCGAAGAGAUUUGGGAGUGCUCGCAAGAGAGCCGGAACACAGGUGCUGCAUGGCUGUCGUCAGCUCGUGUCGUGAGAUGUUGGGUUAAGUCCCGCAACGAGCGCAACCCUUGUCAUUAGUUGCCAUCAUUUGGUUGGGCACUCUAAUGAGACUGCCGGUGUACAAACCGGAGGAAGGUGGGGAUGACGUCAAGUCCUCAUGGCCCUUAUGGGUAGGGCUUCACACGUCAUACAAUGGUCGGUACAGAGGGUUGCCAACCCGCGAGGGGGAGCUAAUCCCACAAAGCCGAUCGUAGUCCGGAUCGCAGUCUGCAACUCGACUGCGUGAAGUCGGAAUCGCUAGUAAUCGUGGAUCAGCAUGUCACGGUGAAUACGUUCCCGGGUCUU